rnacentral:lncRNA from 1 species
CAUCAUCCUUUCUGGGUCGCUUAAAGUAAUUGCACACCUGACUUUAGUUUCAGAUACUAGCACUAUCCAGUGACCACAGUGGGGAGAGGAAGGUAAAGAACUGUAAAAAAAAGAAAAUUGCUGUCCAGCUUCUGUUCCAUCUUUCUGUGCAUCUGCUGCUGGACAUCAUUGAGAAUGAUUUGGAGCAAUCCUGUCCAGCCCUACAUUGACUUGACAUCCAACAGCUC